UACGAAGGGGGCUAGCGUUGUUCGGAAUUACUGGGCGUAAAGCGCACGUAGGCGGGUCGUUAAGUCAGGGGUGAAAUCCCAGAGCUCAACUCUGGAACUGCCUUUGAUACUGGCGACCUAGAGUUCGGAAGAGGUUAGUGGAAUUCCCAGUGUAGAGGUGAAAUUCGUAGAUAUUCGGAAGAACACCAGCGGCGAAGGCAGCAACUUGGUCUGGUAUUGACGCUCAGGCACGAAAGCAUGGGGAUCAAACAGG
rnacentral:rRNA from 1 species